ensembl:lncRNA
GUCAUCAGAAUGCCCAUCAUGUACCGCAUCGGCUGUCUGAGAGACGGUGGGUCCUGGAAGGGCAACGGAGGUCCUGGAAGGGCAAUGGAGGUCCUGGAAGGGCAACGGAGGUCCUGGAAGGGCAAUGGAGGUCCUGGAAGGGCAACGGAGGUCCUGGAAGGGCAACGGAGGUCCUUGAAGGGCAGUGGAGGUCCUGGAAGGGCAACGGAGGUCCUGGAAGGGCAGUGGAGGUCCUGGAAGGGCAACGGAGGUCCUGGAAGGGCCGUGGAGGUCCUGGAAGGGCAACGGAGGUCCUGGAAGGGCAGUGGAGGUCCUGGAAGGGCAAUGGAGGUCCUGGAAGGGCAACGGAGGUCCUGGAAGGGCAGUGGAGGUCCUGGAAGGGCAACGGAGGUCCUGGAAGGGCAGUGGAGGUCCUUGAAGGGCAACGGAGGUCCUGGAAGGGCAACGGAGGUCCUUGAAGGGCAGUGGAGGUCCUUGAAGGGCAAUGGAGGUCCUGGAAGGGCAAUGGAGGUCCUGGAAGGGCAACGGAGGUCCUUGAAGGGCAAUGGAGGUCCUGGAAGGGCAGUGGAGGUCCUGGAAGUGCAACGGAGGUCCUGGAAGGGCAGUGGAGGUCCUGGAAGGGCAACGGAGGUCCUGGAAGGGCAGUGGAGGUCCUGGAAGGGCAGUGGAGGUCCUGGAAGGGCAACGGAGGUCCUGGAAGGGCAGUGGAGGUCCUGGAAGGGCAGUGGAGGUCCUGGAAGGGCAACGGUAGUCUCAAAGGGCUGAGUUUGGUCUCGG